rnacentral:rRNA from 1 species
GACGAACGCUGGCGGCGUGCUUAACACAUGCAAGUCGAACGGAAAGGCCCUGCUUUUGUGGGGUGCUCGAGUGGCGAACGGGUGAGUAACACGUGAGUAACCUGCCCUUGACUGUGGGAUAACUUCAGGAAACUGGGGCUAAUACCGGAUAGGAGCUCCUGCUGCAUGGUGGGGGUUGGAAAGUUUCGGCGGUUGGGGAUGGACUCGCGGCUUAUCAGCUUGUUGGUGGGGUAGUGGCUUAGCAAGGCUUUGACGGGUAGCCGGCCUGAGAGGGUGACCGGCCCCGUUGGACCUGGGCUGCGACCCAGACUCGUCCGGUACGCGACAGUGCAGUGUGUUGUACUAUAGACGGAGGCCUAGUGCGGCCACGCCGCGUGCGGUAUGUCGGCAAUCCGGUUGUGUUCCACUUUCGCCUGAGCCGAGGCGUGAAUGACGGUACUGGGUGAAGAAGCACCGGCUAACUCCGUG